AAAAUGUCGACAGUCUCCCGUCCUUGCGCUCCACAAUUCUUCAGUGUAAGGCUCUUGCGGACAUCUCAAACCGGAUGUACCCCGCCCAGCACAAUCUGCCCACCCCGACCCAAAGGCAACCCUCUUUCUACUUCACCCAGGAGCAACUAGAUUACGUCUUGUUCGGAUUUUCCCAUUCCGGAUGUAGGGGAACUCCCGUUCACGCCCUCAGCGGCCUAAAGAUCGGGGAGAUAAGUCAUGGAAUAGAGCGGAUUCUGAAUCACCAAAACGGCCUGUCCCCCCACUGCUCCAUGGCCUCCUGGAAGCUCUCCCGCACAGACCCACCCCCGCACGAACUCCCGGAAGAACUCUGUAUUUGCCCCACUACGUUUGCUGGCAUUAUUCACUAUGGCGUCUUCUGUCGCAAGGAAGCGAUAUUGAAAGGAGCAAAGUUUGGUCCUUUUAAGGGAAAAGUUGUCAACACCAGCGAAAUCAAAACGUUUGACGAUAACAGCUUCAUGUGGGAGAUUUUCAAAAACGGUAGAUUGAGUCACUUCAUCGAUGGCCGUGGUGCUACCGGGAACUGGAUGUCGUACGUAAACUGCGCGAGGUAUUCCGGAGAACAGAACCUGGUGGUUGUUCAGGAAGGGGAAAACAUUUACUAUGAAGUGUGCAAGGAUAUCCCGAUGGGAACAGAACUGCUGGUAUGGUACGGAGACAUGUACACCCAGUUUAUGGGGAUCCCCGUUACACUUCAGAAGCUAGAGGAAUCUGCUAACAUUCCCAUCGAACCAGAGAACGCGGAAGGAUAUCAGUGUGAGAGGUGUGGGAAGGUGUUCGCCUACAAAUACUACAGGGAUAAACACCUCAAAUACACCAAAUGCGUGGACCAGGGAAACAGGAAGUUCCCGUGUCACCUAUGUGCGAGGUCGUUCGAGAAGAGGGACCGCCUGAGAAUCCACAUUCUCCAUGUCCACGAGAAGCAUCGCCCCCACAAGUGCGCGGUGUGCGGCAAGAGCUUCAGUCAGAGCUCCAGUCUCAACAAACACAUGAGGGUUCACAGCGGAGAGCGGCCAUACAAGUGUGUCUACUGCAGCAAGUCUUUCACUGCCUCAAGUAUUCUCAGGACGCACAUUCGACAACACUCGGGGGAGAGGCCCUUCAAGUGUAAGUUUUGCGGUAAGGCUUUUGCGUCUCACGCCGCACAUGACAGUCACGUAAGAAGAACGCACGUGAAAGAAAAGUCCAUCCAGUGUAAAUACUGCGGGGCGGAGUUCAAUCACCAGCACGAGCUGAAGGUCCACUACAGGACCCACCACAGCGGCGCGGAGUCCAGUGUGACGCCAUGGUCCGUGGUAGAACCACCACUUCCGGUCCAAGCUCAUCUUCCCAUCCUCCCUCCGGUCUAGACAGCAUUUCAAAUUAUUAUUACUUCAUUUGUAGCCAGAUUGUGUUUUUGUUUUAGCAAAUAAAUGCUUUUGUUUUGG
rnacentral:misc_RNA from 1 species